UACAGAGGGGGCAAGCGUUAUUCGGAAUUAUUGGGCGUAAAGAGCUCGUAGGCGGUUUGUCGCGUCUGCUGUGAAAACUCGGGGCUUAACCCCGGGCCUGCAGUGGGUACGGGCAGACUAGAGUGCGGUAGGGGAGACUGGAAUUCCUGGUGUAGCGGUGAAAUGCGCAGAUAUCAGGAGGAACACCGGUGGCGAAGGCGGGUCUCUGGGCCGUAACUGACGCUGAGGAGCGAAAGCGUGGGGAGCGAACAGG
rnacentral:rRNA from 1 species